rnacentral:misc_RNA from 1 species
CCGAAGCUUGCGCGCGAGUUCCGACUCGCCAAUACAUGCAAUUCUUCUACCCUUGACUUUGAGCACCGUAUGUUUCCUCGGUGGGGACGCCCGCCAGCGAGGACUCCACAAAACCUUUGCAGUAGCAGUAUUUGUCUGAACAAACCAAAAAACUAUUA